UACGGGGGAGCAAGCGUUGUUCGGAUUUACUGGGCGUAAAGGGCGCGUAGGCGGCGCAACAAGUCGCGUGUGAAAGCCCCCGGCUCAACUGGGGAGGGUCACGCGAUACUGAUCGACUCGAAGGCAGGAGAGGGAAGUGGAAUUCCCGGUGUAGUGGUGAAAUGCGUAGAUAUCGGGAGGAACACCAGUGGCGAAGGCGGCCACCUGGGCCGACCCUGACGCUGAGG
rnacentral:rRNA from 1 species